rnacentral:rRNA from 1 species
GACGAACGCUGGCGGCAUGCCUAACACAUGCAAGUCGAGCGAGUUGAUUCCUUCGGGAUGAAGCUAGCGGCGGACGGGUGAGUAACACGUGGGCAACCUGCCUCAUAGAGGGGAAUAGCCUUCCGAAAGGAAGAUUAAUACCGCAUAAGAUUGUAGCUUCGCAUGAAGUAGCAAUUAAAGGAGCAAUCCGCUAUGAGAUGGGCCCGCGGCGCAUUAGCUAGUUGGUGAGGUAACGGCUCACCAAGGCGACGAUGCGUAGCCGACCUGAGAGGGUGAUCGGCCACAUUGGGACUGAGACACGGCCCAGACUCCUACGGGAGGCAGCAGUGGGGAAUAUUGCACAAUGGGGGAAACCCUGAUGCAGCAAUGCCGCGUGAGUGAUGACGGCCUUCGGGUUGUAAAGCUCUGUCUUCGGGGACGAUAAUGACGGUACCCGAGGAGGAAGCCACGGCUAACUACGUGCCAGCAGCCGCAGUAA